UACGUAGGGGGCAAGCGUUGUCCGGAUUUAUUGGGCGUAAAGAGCGUGUAGGCGGCUUUGCAAGUCCGUUGUGAAAACUCGAGGCUCAACCUCGAGACGCCGGUGGAAACUGCAAAGCUAGAGUCCGGAAGAGGAGAGUGGAAUUCCUGGUGUAGCGGUGAAAUGCGCAGAUAUCAGGAAGAACACCCGGGGCGAAGGCGGCUCUCUGGGACGGUACUGACGCUGAGACGCGAAAGCGUGGGGAGCGAACAGG
rnacentral:rRNA from 1 species